UACAGAGGUCUCAAGCGUUGUUCGGAUUCAUUGGGCGUAAAGCGUCCGUAGGUGGCUAAUCAAGUCUGCUGUCAAAGCGUGGAGCUUAACUCCAUAACGGCAGUGGAAACUGAUGAGCUAGAGUGCGAUAGGGGUAGCAGGAAUUCCCAGUGUAGCGGUGAAAUGCGUAGAGAUUGGGAAGAACACCAGCGGCGAAAGCGUGCUACUGGGUCUGCACUGACACUGAGGGACGAAAGCUAGGGGAGCGAAAGGG
rnacentral:rRNA from 1 species